rnacentral:rRNA from 1 species
UACGUAGGAGGCGAGCGUUGUCCGGAGUUACUGGGCGUAAAGGGUGCGCAGGCGGCGUUCCGCGUGGCGAGAUGAAAUCUCCUGGCUUACCUGGGAGGGUGGUCGCCAGACGGGAGCGCUUGAGGGUCGGAGAGGGGCGUGGAAUUCCGGGUGGAGCGGUGAAAUGCGUAGAGAUCCGGAGGAACACCGACGGCGUAGGCAGCGCCCUGGACCAACACUGACGCUGAGGAGCGAAAGCCAGGGAGCAAACGGG